rnacentral:rRNA from 1 species
CCGUCAAUUCCUUUGAGUUUUAACCUUGCGGCCGUAGUCCCCAGGCGGUAGACUUAUCGCGUUAGCUACGACACCGAUGACGAUUAAGCCACCGACGCCAAGUCUACAUCGUUUAGGGCUAGGACUACCGGGGUCUCUAAUCCCGUUUGCUACCCUAGCUUUCGCGUCUGAGUGUCAGGAAUGGUCCAGGAGGCCGCUUUCGCCACUGGUGUUCCUCCAGAUAUCUGCGCAUUCCACCGCUACACCUGGAAUUCCACCUCCCUCUACCAUCCUCUAGUUCUGUAGUUUAGAACGGCCUCUCCCAGUUGAGCCAGGAGCUUUCACGCCCUACUUACAGUACCACCUACACGCGCUUUACGCCCAGUAAAUCCGGAUAACGUUUGCCUCCUACGUGUUACCGCGGCUGCUGGCACGUAGUUAGCCGAGACUUAUUCUGGAAGUACAUUCCUUCCUAUUCCUUCCAAAAAGUGCUUUACGACCCGAAGGCCUUCUUCGCACACGCGGUGUUGCUAGAUCAGACUUUCGUCCAUUUCUAAUAUUCCCUACUGCUGCCUCCCGUAGGAGU